AAGAAAGUUUGGCUGCUUUUCAUGCGUGGUAUGCCCAAGAACGUGCUUCUAACAUUCAUGCCUAUCAAAAAUCAGAGGUGGAGCAAUACUUGGAGGAGUUGGUGUUUCCAAGUAAUGAGAGCUUCAAUAUUCUACAUUGGUGGAAAGUGAAUAAAGCAAAAUUUCCUACUUUGGCAAGGAUAGCUCGUGAUGUUUUAAGUGUUCCUGCUACUACGGUUGCAUCAGAGGCGGAGUUUAGUGUAGGAGGUAGGGUGAUUGAUGAGACACGUGCUUCAUUACUUCCAGAUAUUGUGGAGGUCUUGAUCACUUGCAAUGAUUGGAUUGAAUCAACCAAAAAUAGAAGUGAAAUAUUGAAAUUUUUAAAUAAUUAGAUGUUAUUUAGUUUAGUUCUAUGAAUAUCUUAAUGUCACAUUAUUUUCAAAUUGCAGAUGUAGAAGAAUGCUGACAUGAGUAGAUGGAUUGAAUUGAAUCGAAUCACUUGAAGUAGAUGGGUUUGAUAAUGAGCUUAACAAAGUGGUUGCUAUUAAAGUUAUUGACUUGGAAGAAUCAUGUUUUGGUGGCUGAUGUUAUCGUAGUAGAAGCAAAGAACAAGAGAAGAUACUGAAGAACUAAUAGAGAAGACCAAAAGAGACACAAACAUGUUUGGGAAACUAUUGUUAGCUCUCAGAUAGUAUAGCAUAGCUUGUUCUUCAUAGGAGUCUUUCAUGAGUUUUUUCUGGUUUUACUUUUGUGCCAAAAGUGUGUCAUAAAAUUCUGACCUCUUGUAAGUUAGAGAAUGCAGUGGCAAUGUUUUGGUGGCUGAUGUUACUUUUUUUUUUUGUCAAUGAUGGAAUUAUUCUUUUUGAGUUGGAUAUGAUUGGUGAUAGUGAAACUGAAUCACAUCACCGUUUAAUUUGCAACCAAGUGAUUGGUUUGUUGCUUUGUAAUGAUGCUCCAUUGUCUCUCAAAACCUGGUGACAUCUUUUGAGUUGUUUUUACACCAUGAAUGCAACAGUGACUUUUGUACUCUAUCUGGGAUAUGAUCAGGUUGAGUUAUUGAGCUGGGUUAGGCUUGUAAGCUUUGAAUUAGACUGCUCAGCUUAGUAUUGUUUGAUUUGAUUUGUAUGUUCAAAAUCCGAGAACAUAUGUUUAGCAUGUGUAAUGAAAUAGACUUGUUUCCAA